rnacentral:rRNA from 1 species
UACGGGGGGGAGCAAGCGUUGUUCGGAUUUACUGGGCGUAAAGGGCGCGUAGGCGGCCACCGCAAGUCGGUUGUGAAAUCUCUGGGCUUAACCCAGAAAGGUCAACCGAUACUGCGGGGCUAGAGUGCAGAAGGGGCAACUGGAAUUCCGGGUGUAGUGGUGGAAUGCGUAGAGAUCCGGAGGAACACCAGCGGCGAAGGCGGCAUCCUGGACUGGUCCUGACACUCAUGAGCGAAAGCGUGGGGGAGCGAGUCCGG